rnacentral:tRNA from 1 species
UUAAUUGAAACCAAAAUAGAGGUAAAUCAUUGUUAAUGAUUUCAUUGAAAAAUAAAUUCCAAUUAAA